CGGCGAGUGGCGAACGGGUGAGUAAUACAUCGGAACGUGUCCUGGAGUGGGGGAUAGCCCGGCGAAAGCCGGAUUAAUACCGCAUACGCUCUGUGGAGGAAAGCGGGGGAUCUUCGGACCUCGCGCUCAAGGGGCGGCCGAUGGCAGAUUAGCUAGUUGGUGGGGUAAAGGCCUACCAAGGCGACGAUCUGUAGCUGGUCUGAGAGGACGACCAGCCACACUGGGACUGAGACACGGCCCAGACUCCUACGGGAGGCAGCAGUGGGGAAUUUUGGACAAUGGGGGCAACCCUGAUCCAGCAAUGCCGCGUGUGUGAAGAAGGCYUUCGGGUUGUAAAGCACUUUUGUCCGGAAAGAAAACCGCUUCUCUAAUACGGAGGCGGGAUGACGGUACCGGAAGAAUAAGCACCGGCUAACUACGU
rnacentral:rRNA from 1 species